GACGAACGCUGGCGGCGUGCUUAACACAUGCAAGUCGAACGGACCCUUUGGGGUUAGUGGCGAACGGGUGAGUAACACGUGGGUGAUCUGCCCUGCACUUUGGGAUAAGCCUGGGAAACUGGGUCUAAUACCGGAUAGGACUACGCACUGCAUGGUGUGUGGUGGAAAGCUUUUGCGGUGUGGAAUGGGCCCGCGGCCUAUCAGCUUGUUGGUGGGGUGAUGGCCUACCAAGGCGACGACGGGUAGCCGGCCUGAGAGGGUGACCGGCCACACUGGGACUGAGAUACGGCCCAGACUCCUACGGGAGGCAGCAGUGGGGAAUAUUGCACAAUGGGCGCAAGCCUGAUGCAGCGACGCCGCGUGAGGGAUGACGGCCUUCGGGUUGUAAACCUCUUUCGCCAGGGACGAAGCGCAAGUGACGGUACCUGGAGAAGAAGGACCGGCCAACUACGUGCCAGCCGCCGCAGUAACAC
rnacentral:rRNA from 1 species